UACGUAGGGUGCGAGCGUUAAUCGGAAUUACUGGGCGUAAAGCGUGCGCAGGCGGUUCGCUGUGUCCGAUGUGAAAGCCCCGGGCUUAACCUGGGAAUGGCAUUGGAAACUGGCGGGCUUGAGUGUGGCAGAAGGGGGUGGAAUUCCGCGUGUAGCAGUGAAAUGCGUAGAGAUGCGGAGGAACACCGAUGGCGAAGGCAGCCCCCUGGGCUAACACUGACGCUCAGGCACGAAAGCGUGGGGAGCAAACAGG
rnacentral:rRNA from 1 species